GGCGCCUUGCGCGCACCGGCGGACGGCUCAGUAACACGUCGGUAACCUACCCUCGGGAGGGGGAUAACCCCGGGAAACUGGGGCUAAUCCCCCAUAGGCCUGAGGUACUGGAAGGUCCUCAGGCCGAAAGGGGCUCUGCCCGCCCGAGGAUGGGCCGGCGGCCGAUUAGGUAGUUGGUGGGGUAACGGCCCACCAAGCCGAAGAUCGGUACGGGCCAUGAGAGUGGGAGCCCGGAGAUGGACACUGAGACACGGGUCCAGGCCCUACGGGGCGCAGCAGGCGCGAAACCUCCGCAAUGCGGGCAACCGCGACGGGGGGACCCCCAGUGCCGUGGCAUCGCCACGGCUUUUCCGGAGUGUAAAAAGCUCCGGGAAUAAGGGCUGGGCAAGGCCGGUGGCAGCCGCCGCGGUAAUACCGGCGGCCCGAGUGGUGGCCGCUAUUAUUGGGCCUAAAGC
rnacentral:rRNA from 1 species